CGGUGUAGCAAUACACAGUGGCGAACGGGAGAGUAAUGAAUCGCUAAUGUACCCCGGACUCUGGGAUAGCUAUCCGAAAGGGUAGGUAAUACCAGAUAAUAUAACCGCACGGCAUCGUGUGGUUCUCAAAGGUCCGCCGGUCUGGGAGCAGGCGAUUUCGUAUCAGCUAGUUGGUGAGGUAACGGCUCACCAAGGCGACGACGCGUAGCCGGACUGAGAGGUUGGCCGGCCUCAUUGGGACUGAGACACUGCCCAGACUCCUACGGGGGGCUGCAGUAACGAAUCUUCCGCAAUGCACGAAAGUGUGACGGAGCGACGCCGCGUGUAGGACGAAGUCCUUCGGGAUGUAAACUACUGUCAGGGGUUACCAAGUUCUGAGGAGCCCCAGAGGAAGGCACGGCUAACUCUGUGCCAGCAGCCGCGGUAAGACAGAGGUGCCAAGCGUUAGGCGGAAUCACUGGGCUUAAAGCGUGUGUAGGCGGAAUGGUAAGUACCUUGUGAAAUCCCACGGCUCAACCGUGGGACUGCUCGGUAUACUGCUUUUCUUGAGCCACUUAGGGGCUGUCGGAACAAACGGUGGAGCGGUGAAAUGCGUAGAUAUCGUUUGGAACGCCAAAGGUGAAAACAGACAGCUGGGAGUGUGCUGACGCUGAGACACGAAAGCCAGGGGAGCGAACGGGAUUAGAUACCCCGGUAGUCCUGGCCCUAAACGAUGUCGACUAGAUCGUGGUAGCUCUGACGUUAUCA
rnacentral:rRNA from 1 species